GGGACACACUGCUAAGGCUCACACCAUGCGGAUGAACAGACUCGAGCCUUGGUUCCACAUUUUGCAUAUGGGGAAACCAAAUCCUGGAAAAGGCCCAAGCUGGGUCAUGCUGUUCCAUGUAUCAAGAGAGACAAGCAGGGAAGGAGGCACAGAGAAGCCUGGAGCUGGCAGAGGGUGACCCCAAGUGCUUCCACACCUCUGACAUGGGGACUGCAUGAACCUUUGAAAGAAAGCCUGAGGGAAACUAAACUCUCAGUACUGGUCCUGAGAACUCCACAGGACGGUAGGACAGGCCUGGGGCAUCUUAGUCCUAGCCAGUGUCAGGACUAAGAACUGUAUACUACAUCCCCUUAGGCUAGCUGCUUAAGUUACUGUAGAAUAAUAGUUAACUCCCUCAGAGUCAGGACAGGGUGCUGAAGGAAGGUCUCCACACUCCUGGCUUAGAUUUUCCAAGAUCUGAGACCCAGGGAUGUGGAGGGUUUUUCACACAGGUGGAAGAUUCUAUGUGCACAGCAGGAGGGGAGGGGAACGGGCUUCCAACUUGGUGGGGUAGUGCUAGUUUGCCUUCCAAGCAAAUCUCUAGAAAUACCUAGAAAGUCCCGGCUGGUGACUCCCAGGCUACCACAAACAGAACUUCUUUUUUUUUUUUGGUUUUUCAAGACAGGGUUUCUCUGUGCAGUCCUGGCUGUCCUGGAACUCACUUUGUAGACCAAGCUGGCCUUGAACUCAGAAAUCCACCUGCCUCUGCCUCCCAAGUGCUGGUAUUAAAGGCGUGUGCCACCACUGCCCGGCUCAAACAGAACUUCUAAAGUGGGUCCCACUAACUCUUGCUUCCAUGAGGGGCCGGUGGGGAGCAGGUUAAGCUCUAGAUGCACAGGGAAUAAUGUCACUGCAUCGGGAGCCUCCCAGGAGUCCCUUCACACUUAGAAUCAAGUCCAAAGUCCUCGGCAUGACCGGAGCCCCCCUAGAUGGCUUCUCUCUCUCCUUCUCAUGGCCUUUCCUGUCCCAGUCGCAGUUUCUCAAACUUGCUAAGCAUAUUUCCAUCGUGGGACCAUCGUGGAGCUAGCUCGGGCUUUUAAAAACCCAAAGGGCACCCAAUCCUUCCCAAAAUAUUUCUACCAACUAGGGACCAAAUAUUCAAAUAUAUAAGCCUAUGGGGCCCUUUCUCAUUGAAACCACCACAAGAAUCAGAGAGUGUACUUUAGUUAGGGAUUUCAUGUGGCUUCCUGAUCAAUUGCCAGUGCCCAAAAUACACCGGACACAGGAGUGGCAUCUAAAAAGUUGGCUGGUGGCUUUAGGAGGCGGCAGCCGGAAGUAGGGUAAAAGUGGGAGUGACAAGUGCUUCUGGGUGAAAGAAGAGACACAGAGCUUAAAUAAGCAAAUGUGAAAUAAUAUAAAUGGUAAACAAACACUUCCCGGGCUGCCACCCUCAGAAAAGCACCAAGCCCAUGAAGGUUUACAGGUGUUUCUAACAAACCUCUGAAAACCUUGGGGGAGGGCGGGGGAGGAUGCUCUAUUAGGAGGAGAAUAAGAACGGGCACACCUCAUGAACAAGAUGCCUUUCAAGCAAACCUCAAAGGAGGACAGGCAUGAAGCACAGCAGUAAGAACUUGGGGUCUCCCAGGGAACCAUAUGCAGUGUCACUUCUGUGACAAUGGUGCCUACUCUAGAAAUAUCUUUUUCCAUCUGGCCUCUGUGUCUUCUCUGUUCAUCUCCAUCGCCCAACAUUCUCCAUCGGCCUGGUCACUGAAUUGCAAAGUGAGUAUCCCACAAACGUCAGCCACUGUUGGACGGUGUCUAUAGGUCUAUUUCUGGCUAAAAAAGCAAGCCAGGAAUUGCAUUUCCCUCAUCCUGGUAUCUUUGAUGCCUGAAAACACUCAAAGGCUCAAGGCAGCCGACUGUUAAGAGCUGGCGCUGCGGAUGCACAAGCAAUGGUCUGUGAUGCCUGUUUGCAGCCAUCCUUAAACAUGUACAAUGAGCUCAGGUGGCAGGGCCUCGGGGAAGCUUUCUCGGGCUCCUUCUUUCUCAGGCAAGAAGAAGGUGAGCAAAAGAAGUCACGCUUCCUCUCCAGUGAGGCUGAGGGGCACCUGAAAGGACACAUCUGUCUACGUACUCUCUGUGAAGUUCAGUGUGAGGUGGUGGGGUCUGGACAACAUAGUAAGAAACAAGGAAGCAAGGCUGGCAUCUCCAGCAGCCUAGAAACUGAGCUGAGGGAGAAGAACGAAGGGUGGAAGAGUGCAGACUCUCCCUUCCACACCCACAAGGGCCCAGACAGCCCUGCUUCACCCCCAACUACAGCCGUUCAUCAAACAAGGCUGAGAAACCCGUCGUCACGGCUCUAGGGCUGGGCUGUGCCCUCCAUCUCCUCAUCAGCACUCAGACUCAGAUCAACCACUGCCAGGUCCAUGAGGCUGGGGAAUAGCUGAGACCGUCCAGGCCAUGGAUACAGCACAGCAUGGAUCCUAAUGGGACCCCUGCUGUGGACAUGGAGACCUGCAGGUUCAUAUCAGAGCUGCUGAGAGGCACCUCUGAAGUCAGCAGAUAAAACCGUUCUGCAGCAUAAACAGAUCCUCUGGUCAGGAGAAAGGGAGCUGGGAGGUCUGCAGUCCUGGACACGUACCUACGGCUGUGUAAAACAGCACGUGCGUGGGUGAGCGCGCGUGCACACACACACACACACACACACACACACACACACACAAAUAAUGGUUCAGUCAAUAACCAUUCACUACCUCACACUGUUUCUGCUGAUUAAGAAAACUAGAGUGGGGCUGGCAAGAUGGCUCAGUGGGUAACAGCACUGACUGCUCUACCAAAGGUCCUGAGUUCAAAUCCCAGCAAUCACAUGGUGACUCACAACCAUCUGUAAUGGAAUCUGACGCCCUCUUCUAGUGUGUCUGAAGUCAGCUACAGUGUACUUAUGUAUAAUAAUAAAUCUUUGGGCCGGAGUGAGCAGGGACUAAGCGAGUAGAGUUGACUGGAGCGAGCGGGGCCAACUGGAGCGAGCAGGGGUCCUAAAAAUUCAAUUACCAACAAUCAUAUGAAGGCUAACAACCAUCUGUACAGCUACAGUGUACUCACACACAUAAAAUAAAUAAAUAUUUAAAA